UAUAUAUAUAUAUUCUUGUACAUAGUCAAGAAUAUUUAUAUAUAUAAAAUAGUAUCUCAUUUAGAGCAGGCAGAUUUGCUAGAGGUCACUGAUAAUCUAGUAGGCUUUUAUUAUAAUUGGGUCUAUUUCCUGGGUAUGUGCCCGACUUUUAAAAGGACAAAUACUUGUAUAGUAUUUCACUACAGAUUACUGAAUGAAUGAAUAGCAAUUUGUCACCCAAAUAAGUAUACAGUAGAUGGUUUAUAAAUAUUUGAGGAACUUUGUACUAAAUUAGAUUCUGAGUUGGCUACCCAAAAUAUUUGGAAUUGUGACUGUGGUUUACUUAAACACAUAACACAUAAAAGUAUGUAUAUGUUUGGAUUCUGAGUAUUUUGCUUUUGAGGAGAGUAAUCUAUGAAAUGAACGUAAGACUGACUUUUUUCUUUUUGGAAGUAUUUCACAUUUGUGAUUGUUGGUGGCGCUUAAAACUAUGCAAAAAUAAUUUUUUUAAAGUAACUCUAAGAAAGAAUUGGCAUUUAAAGUGGAUAUUGCUUAUUUUAUGCACUACAGAAUACAACAUAUUGUGUUACUAUUUAGGCUGCUUAUUAAUAAGUUUAUCGAUGUGAAAAAGCAGAUCUUGGCUAUAAGUGUAUGCCUGAUUUGAGCUUUUAAAACUCUGCAAUAGGGGUAUGAUUAUGAUUCCACAAUACAGGAAAUUAUAGGAAUACAAUAAAGCAUUUUUAUUGUUUUAAAGAUUUAAGAUGGAUUCAGGCACGGAAGGGUUGGAGCCAGGUGUACUUUCUUGUACAAAGAUGGAAUCAAUGUUUGGAUGUGAAAAAGGAAGCUGUCUGUUUACAGUUAAUUUUAUUUCAUGGACUUUAGAAAAUGAUGUUGUAUUAAUCACUUUUUCUAGUUCAAGAAAUUUCAAUUCCAGGGUACAAACCAUUGAUUUAAAAAAUUUGCAUUUCCAUUCCUUUAGUACCAGUUUAAAAUAAAUGCUUAACAUCACCUGUUUGCUAUCACUGGGGAUGAAGGCAAUUUGAAGUACUUACUGAUAAAUGGCCUUUUUCUCAAAUGUUACUUUUCUGCAGUGUCUAACACAUAAUGUCACAUGUUCUGUUUGCACUGUUGCAAUAUGGAUCAAAAAUCUUGUGGCAUAGGGAUAGGGGAAUGUUAGUAUCUCCCUUGUCCUGUUUGUUCUGUUACUACUUUAUUGGACUGAUCUACCCUCAUAAACCUGUGAUCACCUAAAUGUAAGUUGUGAAUGUGUCACCUUUUGCUUGGUUAUUUCAACCAUGCUGCUAUAUAUAAUCAGGUGUGGCACAGUUUAUCAGUUUGGUUCUAGGGGGUGAGUGAAUACAAAUCAUUGCACUGUGCUGUUAAACGAUCCUUGUGUGCUUGCUGUUACCUGCUUUUUACAGGCAUCAUAAUAAAAGCUAGACUAUUUCUUUGGGGGGAAAGAGACUUAUUUAAUGUAAUUUAAAGACUUUUCCAAUAGAAAAUGAAAUACUAUUGAAAAUAUCUAUUUUUUAGCUUUCAGCAAUUGAUGGUGCUUUGUUGUGGUGUCUGCUGGAAGUCUGCCAUUAUAGGGAUUCUCAUUAACCUCACUGAGAAAGAACCUUGCUUGUUAGCUUCUCUAGAUCUCUAUUCUAAACAAUCUGUUAGUGAUGAUAAAUUCUGUAGGAGGGUCUAUUCUGAGCCAUUAACUUCCUGUAAGGGGAAAAUGGGUGGGUUAACCAGAAAGACCAUUGAAACAGGGUGGGUUAUGGGUGGAGGGUCGGGUAUUUGUCUUGAGAAUUAAAAGCUACGAAACACUUUUGUACACAACUGAUUUUUUAAAAAAUAAAUACAUUUUUAAAGAUGUUGAAUUUUUUUUCCCCCUUACUGGGAAUUCUUAAAAAUAAAUGCAUGCAUGUUUUCCCCUGAAAAUGGUUAUAUCUUCUUUCUGGGUACUCCUCUUAGGGAUAGGCAGUUAAGCUUCCACAUUGCUUUGAGCAAGAAAAGAACCAAGUAGAUAGGUCUCUUAGACAAAGUUCAUAGUGAUGAGCAUAUGAUGAUAAGUGGAAUAAAUUAUAUUGGGUCUUUGAAUUUAAAACUGCAUUGAAACUGUUGAAUUCUAAAGUUAUUUAUUUGAAAAUAGAACAUUGGUUAGGUUCGAAUCCAAAAUUUAGAGUAAUCCAGAAUGAAUCUGUACUGAAAGUAAUGUUUGUUCUUUUUUUAUAUAUGCACAGAAAUCAUUCUGGAAAUGAGGGUGCCUGUUACCAUGGAAAAAAACUGAAUUGUUUCAGAAAGUCCUGGGUUACUAUCCUUGGAUUACCCCCUACCUCCAAUUCUGAUAAGAGAGGCUAUGUUGGUUAGGGUUUGUACUAGUUCUUUCACAGGGUGAAUCUGAUUGUUACUUUAUGUCUCUAGGGCAUUCAUAACCAGCUUUCAGCAGACCUAUGACUUUUCUGUAGCCUGGAGAUGGAAUUUGCUCCUGGCUGGAAUACCAGCAUGAAGUCCUCUUUUCAUGGAGCAAGCUGAAUCUUUACAUAUUAAAUCAAGAAUAACAGAUGGAAUUCAAGAAAUAUGGAGGGAUCAUUUGCAAGCAUGAAAAGGAAAACCAGUUCAGGUGGGAGUAAGGUCUUCAAGGAAAGUGUACCCAAACCAGUCAAACCAAUGGUAUGAAUUAAACAGAAUGUUUUGGUAAUUUCAACCGUAAUUAAGGUUCCAUGACUUCUGCUGAUGUUGCUUUACAUGUACCAAACAUACUUUUUUUUUCUGUUUUUGGAAUAAGAAAAUAGCAUUCUUUGUUUAUCAAACCCAUAAAAAAUGACCUUUUUAAACCAUAAAAUCUAAUUGACCCUAAAAACUAUUUCAUUCCAUUUUUUUAUUUUAAUAUUUUAUUCCACCUCAGUUACUUCUAUAGUUGUAUGUCAUACUUCUGUGUAUAUGAGGAGAGCUAUAGCUCCUUUCAGGUCAGCCUUAAGAUGUCAUGGCACAGAAGUAGUCAGAAGGCAACAUUUUUUAUAAAGGAACGAAUUUGGAGUGCCUUGCUGGCUCAGUUGGUAGAGCAUGCAGCUCUUGAUCGUGGGGUUAUGAGUACAAGCCCUACACUGGGCAUAGGACUUACUUCUCCCCCACCCCAACCCCCAUAAAAGAAAGAAAAAUGAAUUCAGGGUAAUAGUAAUUAGCAUGGUUGAUUUUCCUUUAAAAAUGUUUUCCAAAUGAUAAAUGUGUAUUUUUAACAACCAUCAGUAGGGAAGAGUUCAUAGUGGAAAAUCUAUAAUCCUUUUCCUACCUGUAGUACUAAUCCAUUGAGACCAUAGCUUUUAAAUGUUUCUGGUGGGUUUUUUAAAUAGUAUUUUUAAGUUUACUUAAGGAACUUCUACCCCCAAAGUGGGGCUCGAACUCAGGACUCCAAGAUCAAGAGUUGCAUGCUCUUCCAGCUGAGCCAGCAUUAGAAGCACUAAAUGUUUCCGGUUUUUGUUUUUAUUUUACCUAAGCAAUGUACUCACCUCUCUGUAAGUAACUCUAGGCUUUGUUGUUAACACUAAGUUAAUUAUAUUUCUGUGCCAUCAAUUAUACCUACUAUCUCUUGACCUCCUUAUUUUUGUCCCUAACCUUUACCUUCAUUUAGUACAGAUGGUCCCUGACUUAGAAUGGUUUGAUUUACUUUUUUUUUUUUUAACUUUAUGAUGGUGUGCAAAAGCAAUAUGCAUUCAUUAGAAGCUAUACUUUGGAUUUUGGAUUUUGGUCUUUUCCUGGGUUAGUAGUAUGCAGUAUGAUAUUCUCUUACAAUGCUGGGCAGUAGAAGUGAUCUGCAGAUGUCAGCCACAUGAUUAUGAGGGUAAAUAAUGAUACACUUAGAACCUUUCUGCACACAUAUAGCCAUCCUGUUUUUUACGGUUAGUGCAGUAUUCAAUAAGUUACAUGAAGUAUUCACUUCAUUAUAAAAUUGACUUUGUGUUAAAUUAUUUGGCCCAACUGUAAGCCAAUGUAAGUGUUUUGAGAAUGUUUAAAAUAGGCUAAGCUGUAAUGUUAGGUAUAUUAAGUGCAUUUUCAAUUUAUGAUAUUUUCAGCUUACUAUUGUUUUAAUGGUACAUAACUCCAUUGUAAAUUGAGGAAGAUCUGUAAUGGAAUUUAGGUUGAGGGAGGACUGUUGCAUACAUGAAAGCAUUGAGAAAGUAGGGUGACUUUGGGGGCAGGAUAUGUAUAGGUAAGGGGCACCUACUCGAAUAGAAAUUGCUUUGGAACUGAUGUAGAGUUAAAAAGUAAACUGAAAACAAGGAAGUUAUAUCUAGAUUGAGGUAAUAAUUAGAAGGUGAAGAUAGAAGGAAAAGACUAUGAAAGGAAGGAAAGGCAAAAAUGAUGAAAAGGCACAAAGAUCAAGGUUUUAAACCUGAGAAGGGCAGGGUAGGAAGGGAAAAGAGUGCUGUGUGGGAGGGAAGACAUCCAUGUAGGGACUGCAACCAAAAACCUUAUUCCUAAGUGGUAAUCCUUUUAAUGUGCCCACGUUGCCCUUCCAACCUUCUAUCACCAACUCUCUCAGCUUAAUUCAGUAGAUUAAUACUUUGUUCACUGGGCCUUUGAGGAGCUGCUUCUUUUCCAGACAUAACUCCUUAUACUCUUUGUUACUUUCCAUAGGUCUUAUUUAGAUUUUUUACAUCACCCAGCAGUUCUUUUUCCCAAUACCUCUUUCCAUUAAACUGUUUAUGCUUUUUUUUUUUCUCUUCUGCCUAUUUCACUUUCUGUCAUACUUAACAAAUGCUGCUUCCUGAAUAGUUUGCUUCCUUGACCUUUUCUUUAGUCUUUAACUCUGGCAGUUUAGGUCUGGCUUACAUCAUUAAUAUGAAAAUUGGUCUGAAAAUUCUGCAGCCUUUCGAAUUACAGAUAACAAAAAAAAAACGAGCACUUUACUUGUCCAGAGGUAACAUGAUGACUGGCAUUGUCAGACUGAGAAUAUGGGUUUGCUAGCCAAAAUCUUUCUUGUUUUAUUUUAAAAGCAUUUUGUGUGUGUAUGAUAAAAAUAUGCUCAUUCAGGAAACUUAGACUUAAAUUAAGUCCUAAUCCUAUUUCCUAGAAUUUACUUAAUAUUCUGGAGUAUUCUUUAAUGUACUGUUUUUAUACAACUAAGCCAAUACUUGUCAAUAUUCAGCUUUUUAAAACAUAAUCACAGCUCUUUAAAAUUUUUUUAUGUAAAUAUUUUAAAUGGCUAUAGGUAAGCCAUUUUACAUACCAGUUACCCUACUAGAGGUGUAGAUUGUUUUGGAUUUUUCUCUGUUACACAUUAUGCUGCAUGGGCUUCUGAUUAAAAACAUGAUGGGUGCCCCAAAUGCUUUAAUACUAGCUUCUUCCUAAAACUGGACUGAAAUGACAUAUUUUUAAAAGUAGUAAUCUAUAGAGACGAAGCAUGGAAAAGAAAACAAUGCCAGAAUACUUUUGGAAGAUGGAAAGCAGACAGAGGAGUAGAAACUGAUUUAGUAGUAGAGCACAUGUAGUUCAAACCUAAUUGUCUACAGGAGUGUUUAUUUUAAAAGUAAGAUGAUUUGUUCCUUAAGACUCAAAGACCUAGAGCUAGGAGAAAACAGACCUUGCAGAAUGUGGGUAUGAAAUGUUGGGCUGAGAGUGGGGAUUGGUUGACAAUGUAUUUCCUUCUACCCAGUAAGGUAAGUAGCUAGGUUACUACUCUAUCCUUACCAUGGAAGUAGAAGUACUCUUGAGGAUUUAAAACAAGUCUUCAGAUUGAGAUACUGUUAUAGAUUGGAAAUGGAGUUCAAUUAAAAUUCUGUAUACUUGGAUAGUAGAUUCCUGGAUUCUAGAAUGCUGACAGUUAAGUCUCAGGGAAAAGGAGACAGGAUCCUUUUCUGUAGAAAUUCCAUCAUCCCAGAGAAAAGACCUUCAAAGAGAUUCAGACAUUUGGAGAUUUUCCAAUGAGAAAGCAAAGUUCCCUACCCAGUGAACCUCAAAGUAUGAACAAACUCAAGAAUUACCAGAUUAAAAAAAAAAAAUUUUUUUUUUAACAUUUAUUUUUGAGAGAAAGGAGACACAGAAUCUGAAGCAUGCUCCAUGCUCCAGUAUGUCAGCACAGAGCCUGACAUGGGACUGGAACUCAUGAACCUCGAGAUAAUGACCUGAGCCGAAGUCCGAUGCUUAACUGACUGAGCCACCCCUCAAGAAUCACCAGAUUUUUGAAGAUUGCUCCACCAGUAAUGACCAAGACCAAAA